CCUACGGGUGGCUGCAGUGGGGGAUAUUGCACAAUGGAGGAAACUCUGAUGCAGCAACGCCGCGUGAGGGAAGAAGGUCUUCGGAUUGUAAACCUCUGUCCUCAGGGACGAUAAUGACGGUACCUGAGGAGGAAGCUCCGGCUAACUACGUGCCAGCAGCCGCGGUAAUACGUAGGGAGCACGCGUUGUCCGGAUUUACUGGGUGUAAAGGGUCCGUUGUGGGCCCUGCAAGUCAGGUGUGAAAACUAUGGGCUUAACUCAUGGAUUGCACUUGAAACUGUGGGGAUUGAGUGAAGGAGGGGCAGGCAGAAUUCACGGAGUAGCGGUGAAAUGCGUAGAGGUCGGGAAGAACAGCAGUGGCGAAGGCGGCCUGCUGGGCUUUAACUGAGGCUGAGGCACGAAAGCGUGGGUAGCAAACAGGAUUAGAUACCCGUGUAGUC
rnacentral:rRNA from 1 species